CAACUUUCGAAAGGCAUAUCUCACUCAUACGAUGUCGGAAUUCGUAAACUCGGCGGCGUUGGAAAGAUAUAUCCAAGGGCUUUACAACCAUCUCAAGAACUGCUCCUAACUCAUCCUGAGCUAGGAGUUAUGACCGUUUGAAAAUGGCAAAAACUCACUUUCUUAACUUAGACAUAAUUUUCCAGAUUUCCUUAAUCUUUCCAAAAGAUCAAUAUUUUCAGAUUUUUAACUCUUUCUAGUCGUUUCUAGGUGCGAGAUGUUACAACAUCCACAUGAACACCAUACAAAUAAUGGUGCCAUAUCUUCAAAGUGAAAACUACGGAAGCCAACUCUAGAUCGUGGGUUGGAUAAUUCUUCUCAUGAACUUUCAACUGGAGGCAUAAGCUAUAACUUUGUCAUUCUGCAUUAAGACACAACCCAGACCAACUCUAGAAUAUCGAAGAGGAAAAGUCUAAUUUUCUUAGCCAACAACAUCGUCUUAGACUUUUCUUUUUUUACCUUUGUUAAUAUGUCUGAUCGAUUCUGUUUGAGAUUAAAUUUUGAGUCUAUUAAUAAUAACCUAUUAAAUGACCUUUUUUAGAAGUUUAUGUGACAUGAAAUAGGAAUUCUAGUUCAUUAUAUCGAUAUUCAAGAGGAG
rnacentral:lncRNA from 1 species